GUUAGAUUUAUAGAAUUUAUAGAUUUUAAGGGGUGUUAGUCAGAUUUAUUUAACUCAUAACACAAGAUUUUGAGAAUACUACUUAUAUACCUUAGAUUCUUAGAAUCAUUAUAUCAAUGUAUUUUCAUAAAAUUUCACAAUAUACAAAACUCUCUACAACUCUUUCCAAAUUUAACAAAUCUUUCAACUUUUAAAAUCAACAAACUCUAUAUAAAUCUUACUCCCACUAACACCCCCUAAAUAUUUGUUACUGAAUUUGCCUAAUAUCUGCUUGCCGUGGGCCAUUUAGACAAAUGUGUAAGGAGAAAUUCGAUUGGGCUAACAAUCAAGCUUGGGCCAUUUAAAAAACUUUGAAACAAAACGUGUUGUAUGUAAUUCACGUAUUUACCCUUUCCUAUUCUUUGAAAUAUAAAGAAACAAAAAAAAAAAGGGCAGGCUAAGGUAAUUUUUCAAAUAGGAUCCUGCUUUAAUAGUAUAGAUGUACACCGACCAAUCAAACUAAAAGCACUUACGUAAUUGUAAUUAAGUAUUUUCUCAUUUUUGGAAAAUAUUGACUUUUCGUUUGCCGUUCAAAAAAAAGAAGACUUUUCAUUUGAUCAUUCCAUUAGGUUUCUUCAUUUCAAACAAGACUCGUAAAACAAAAUUAGAAAAACUAAUAUCAUGUUUGAAUUUUUUACAUAUACAAACACAUUUUAAGUUUCUAUUUACACCUACAGGCAAAAUUAACUAUACACUUCCCUAUUUUCAAACUAAACGAAGAUAUGUAAACUAUUAGAUUCUUCCUUCUCUCUCAUAUCUCAAAUCGGAACCACUUUCCCAAAUACCAAAUUCAUGACCCUAAUUUUGUUGAUAUACUUUUUUUUCUUCCGGUCCUGUUGAAGAUAACAAGAACGAACGAGAUCCUUUCUUAAUCUUUCUCGCUUUUUCUCGAUCCAUGACGAAAUUGAAGAAGCCCAGGGAAGCUCUCGUAGAAGCAUCAGAAGAUGGGUUACUUGUCAAAUCUCAAGACCCCGAGUUCCUCCUCCGUGAAUGCACCGGGUUUUCAUGUCGCCGUCCCGCCUCGUCUCCGUCAGCCAGGAACACGGUGAAGAGCUAUUUACUUCCGCCAAGUCUUCUUAGUUGGAUCAAGUGAUUGAUUGGCGACCACAGAUAGAAGCUUGGGUCAAGAGCUUCGAAUCGAGCGCUUAGAUCGUCGGGAGACGUGUGAUAUUGAUCCGUCCUUCGCCGCAUCCGAACCUUUGUAGAGGUGAUUGCCGCCGACUUAUAUUGGACUUUCCAGGCGUUGCAUUUGACGGGUGUGAUGCUUUGUUAAUGCUAAGUCAGAGCUUUAGGGUGAUUCAUGUUGAGUUUAUCUAAAGGAUGCCUAAUACUUGAGAGGAUCGUAGUAAAGUCAAGGGUAUUGUGGAUGAUUUUGGUGUUCCUGGAAGAACAAACCCGAGAUCAGCUGAGUUCCAACCAGCUUGGGUGUUUGCAAAUGGAAUGUUCGGUUUGGUUUUUUGUUUGAAUAGCCGUAAAGCAAGGUCUUGGAGAUUUGGUACUGGUAAGAAACCUAUUGUAAUUAAAACUGUGAUUCUGGCUAAGUAUCAUGUCCACAAAGAUGAUGAAACCGAACCUCUAGGUAGAACAAAUUGUGCCAUCAGUUUGAUAAUUUUAAGAAAGUAAUUUGCUGCUGGGAAUCGUAGUGUAGUGUAGUCAAGGUGUAUGAUUCUUGGCUAGAUAAUUAUUUUGAUAGCUAAGACCUCUUCUCACUUUUUUAGCUAAACUUAUAUUUUCUUUUGUUUGUUUCUUACCGACGAUUCAAGUUGUCUUCCUUGUGCACACUUUGUAUGGAUUUUCUUGCAUCAAGAAUGUUAAACCUGCCCAUAAUGCAGGAAAGAUGUGUGUACAUGGAUGCCACAUUAUCAAGAUCUGCCUGAAGUCUUCCUUGUCCACAAUUCUAUGUCCAUAAAACAACCUUAUGUACACAAUUCAAGCGAUUUUACAUUUUGAUUAGUAAACUAUUAUUCAAAUACAAUUCAAUAAAAUUUAAACUUAACAAUUAA